rnacentral:rRNA from 1 species
UAAGGAAUAUUGGUCAAUGGACGCAAGUCUGAACCAGCCAUGCCGCGUGAAGGAUGAAGGUCCUCUGGAUUGUAAACUUCUUUUAUCUGGGACGAAAACGGGAUUUUUAUCUCCAUUGACGGUACCAGAGGAAUAAGCACCGGCUAACUCCGUGCCAGCAGCCGCGGUAAUACGGAGGGUGCGAGCGUUAUCCGGAUUUACUGGGUUUAAAGGGUGCGUAGGUGGGCUUAUAAGUCAGUGGUGAAAUCUCCGAGCUUAACUUGGAAACUGCCGUUGAUACUAUAGGUCUUGAAUUAUCUGGAGGUAAGCGGAAUAUGUCAUGUAGCGGUGAAAUGCUUAGAUAUGACAUAGAACACCAAUUGCGAAGGCAGCUUACUACAUAUAAAUUGACGCUGAGGCACGAAAGCGUGGGGAUCAAACA